rnacentral:rRNA from 1 species
UACGGAGGAUGCGAGCGUUAUCCGGAAUUACUGGGCGUAAAGAGAGCGUAGGCGGCACUACAAGUCUCAUGUGAAAUACCCGGGCUUAACUUGGGGGUUGCAUGGGAAACUGUAGAGCUUGAGUACAGGAGAGGCAAGCGGAAUUCCUAGUGUAGCGGUGAAAUGCAUAGAUAUUAGGAGGAACACCAGUGGCGAAGGCGGCUUGCUGAACUGAAACUGACGCUGAGGCUCGAAAGCGUGGGGAGCAAACAGG